rnacentral:rRNA from 1 species
GCAUAACGCGAAGAACCUUACCAGGCCUUGACAUCCUCGGAACCCCGAGAGAGUCGGGGGUGCCCUUCGGGGAACCAGGUGACAGGUGCUGCAUGGCUGUCGUCAGCUCGUGUCGUGAGAUGUUCGGUUAAGUCCGGCAACGAGCGCAACCCUCGCCAUUAGUUGCCAGCAGUUCGGCUGGGCACUCUAAUGGGACUGCCCGUGAAAGCGGGAGGAAGGCGGGGAUGAUGUCUAGUCAGCAUGGUCCUUACGGCCUGGGCGACACACGUGCUACAAUGGCCGGUACAGCGCGUCGCCACCUCGCGAGAGGGAGCUAAUCGCGAAAGCCGGUCCCAGUUCAGAUCGCAGUCUGCAACUCGACUGCGUGAAGUUGGAAUCGCUAGUAAUCGCGGAUCAGCCAUGCCGCGGUGAAUACGUUCCCGGGUCUUGUACACACCG